rnacentral:rRNA from 1 species
UACGGAGGAGGCAAGCGUUAUCCGGAAUUAUUGGGCGUAAAGAGCUCGUAGGCGGCUUGUCGCGUCGGAUGUGAAAGCCCGGGGCUUAACUCCGGGUCUGCAUUCGAUACGGGCAGGCUAGAGUUCGGUAGGGGAGAUCGGAAUUCCUGGUGUAGCGGUGAAAUGCGCAGAUAUCAGGAGGAACACCGGUGGCGAAGGCGGAUCUCUGGGCCGAUACUGACGCUGAGGAGCGAAAGCGUGGGGAGCGAACAGG